AUUGAACGCUGGCGGCAGGCCUAACACAUGCAAGUCGAGCGGAUGAAGGGAGCUUGCUCCUGGAUUCAGCGGCGGACGGGUGAGUAAUGCCUAGGAAUCUGCCUUGUAGUGGGGGAUAACGUCCGGAAACGGGCGCUAAUACCGCAUACGUCCUGAGGGAGAAAGUGGUGGAUCUUCGGACCUCACGCUAUCAGAUGAGCCUAGGUCGGAUUAGCUAGUUGGUGGGGUAAAGGCCUACCAAGGCGACGAUCCGUAACUGGUCUGAGAGGAUGAUCAGUCACACUGGAACUGAGACACGGUCCAGACUCCUACGGGAGGCAGCAGUGGGGAAUAUUGGACAAAGGGCGAAAGCCUGAUCCAGACAUGCCGCGUGUGUGAAGAAGGUCUUCGGAUUGUAAAGCACUUUAAGUUGGGAGGAAGGGCAGUAAGUUAAUACCUUGCUGUUUUGACGUUACCAACAGAAUAAGCACCGGCUAACUUCGUG
rnacentral:rRNA from 1 species